rnacentral:pre_miRNA from 1 species
GUUUUGUUGUUGUCGGGUGGAUCACGAUGCAAUUUUGAUUAGUAAGGUAGGAGAAAAAUUGCACGGUAUCCAUCUGGAAACCGCAAGAC